UCCUGCUCCCCUGACUGCCCUGUUGGGGUCUCCUGCUCUCCCCAAAGAAACUUCACAGACGUCGGCAAAAGACUCAGGGCUGCUCAGAAGAAAGUUAAUAGCCAAACGAGGAGUUGCUGGAUUUUAUAAAGCCGAUGAUAUUUGUAUUCCAGUUCUCCAAAUUACAUACCACAGCUUGCACAUUUCAGGACAGCUGCCGAGUUCCAGAUGUGGGCAAUAACCAGAACACGGUAAUGGCAAAAUGCAAAAGGAAGAAAGGAAAAAAGAAGAAAAAGUUAAUGUCUCUGGAUGGAGAGGAGCAAUUUCGGUCCAUGUGUUUGGGAUUUUUUUUUAUGGAGAUGAAUACCUUCGAUUCUCUCAAAUUUUCAGCUCAGUUUGAACAUUUGGGACGAAGCCAUCUGGGUCACUCAGUGCUGCCAUCAAAGCCUCACCAGUGCCUUGUAAAAGCAGAUUACAGAUGAAAUGGGGCGCAUAUAAAUGUUAACCGUGUGCCGGAGAAACUACUCAAAUUGCUCCGGUUUACAAGGACCCUAUUAAAUGCGCUAAGCUCCUCCCGAAGAAAGCUGCUCGAUGGCGGGUAAGCGGCCAUAUUUAUUAUUUAGUCCAUUUAUAAGACU